UGACCUAGAUAGAUAGACAUAGAUAGAUAGAUGACAUAGAUAGAUAGAUAGAUAGAUAGAUAGAUAGAUAGAUGAUAGAUAGAUAAGAUAGAUAGAUGACAUAGAUAGGUAGAUAGAUGACCUAGAUAGAUGAUAGAUAGAUAGACAGAUGAUAGAUGGUAGAUAGAUAGAUAGAUGACAUAGAUAAAUAGAUAGAUAGAUAGAUAUGUAGAUAGAUAGAUGAUAGAUAGAUGAUAGAUAGAUAGAUAGAUGAUAGAUGACAUAGAUAGAUAGAUAGAUGACAUAGAUAGAUAGAUAGAUAGAUGACAUAGAUAGAUAGAUAGAUAGAUAGAUAGAUGAUUGAUAGAUGAUAGAUAGAUAGAUAGAUAAAUAGAUAAAGAUAGAUAGAUGAUAGAUAGAUAAGAUAGAUGAUAGACAGAUAGAUGAUAGAUAGAUGACAUAGAUAGAUAGAUAGAUAGAUAGAUAGAUAGAUAGAUAGAUGAUAGAUAGAUGAUUGAUAGAUGAUAGAUAGAUAGAUAGAUGAUAGAUAAGAUAGAUAGAUAGAUGAUAGAUAGAUGACAUAGAUAGAUAGAUGAUAGAUAGAUGAUUGAUAGAUGAUAGAUAGAUAGAUAAAGAUAGAUGAUAGAUAGAUAGAUAGAUAGAUAGAUGAUAGAUAAGAUAGAUAGAUGACACAGAUAAGUAGAUAGAUGACGUAGAUAGAUGAUACAUAGAUAAAUAGAUA
rnacentral:lncRNA from 1 species